AACGAACGCUGGCGGCAUGCCUAACACAUGCAAGUCGAACGAUGCCUUCGGGCAUAGUGGCGCACGGGUGCGUAACGCGUGGGAAUCUGCCCUUGGCUUCGGAAUAACAGUUAGAAAUGACUGCUAAUACCGGAUGAUGUCCCCCUGAGAGAUCUUGGGGACCAAAGAUUUAUCGGCCAGGGAUGAGCCCGCGUAGGAUUAGGUAGUUGGUGGGGUAAAGGCCUACCAAGCCGACGAUCCUUAGCUGGUCUGAGAGGAUGAUCAGCCACACUGGGACUGAGACACGGCCCAGACUCCUACGGGAGGCAGCAGUGGGGAAUAUUGGACAAUGGGGGGAACCCUGAUCCAGCAAUGCCGGGUGAGUGAUGAAGGCCUUAGGGUUGUAAAGCUCUUUUACCAGGGAUGAUAAUGACAGUACCUGGAGAAUAAGCUCCGGCUAACUCCGUG
rnacentral:rRNA from 1 species